GUCAACAUGGUAUAGUGGUUUAAGUGCUGGACUCACACUGUGGGAGACCAGGGUUCAAAUCCCUGCUUAGGCA